rnacentral:rRNA from 1 species
UACGGAGGGUGCGAGCGUUGUCCGGAAUCAUUGGGCGUAAAGGGCGCGUAGGUGGCUGGGCAAGCGUGCGGUGAAAGCUCGGGGCUCAACCCCGAGUCGGCCGUGCGAACUGCCGAGCUUGAGCACUGUAGAGGCAGGCGGAAUUCCGGGUGUAGCGGUGGAAUGCGUAGAGAUCCGGAAGAACACCGGUGGCGAAGGCGGCCUGCUGGGCAGUGGCUGACACUGAGGCGCGACGAGCGUGGGGAGCAAACAGG